CCAAGGAGUCUAACAUGUGCGCGAGUCAUUGGGUCUUGCUCAGGCCCAAAGGCGCAAUGAAAGUGAAGGCCGGCUCGGUCGGCUGCGUUGGGAUCCCGCCCUCUUUGGGGGUGGGAGCACCAACGGCCCGUCCCUGUCGCUGCGUCGACGGGGCGGAGUGAGAGCGUACACGUUGGGACCCGAAAGAUGGUGAACUAUGCCUGGGCAGGACGAAGCCAGAGGAAACUCUGGUGGAGGUCCGCAGCGAUUCUGACGUGCAAAUCGAUCGUCAGACCUGGGUAUAGGGGCGAAAGACUAAUCGAACCAUCUA
rnacentral:rRNA from 1 species